rnacentral:rRNA from 2 species
GGGUUGUGAGGUUAAGCGACUAAGCGUACACGGUGGAUGCCCUGGCAGUCAGAGGCGAUGAAGGACGUGCUAAUCUGCGAAAAGCGUCGGUAAGGUGAUAUGAACCGUUAUAACCGGCGAUGUCCGAAUGGGGAAACCCAGUGUGAUUCGUCACACUAUCGUUAACUGAAUACAUAGGUUAACGAGGCGAACCGGGGGAACUGAAACAUCUAAGUACCCCGAGGAAAAGAAAUCAACCGAGAUUCCCCCAGUAGCGGCGAGCGAACGGGGAGCAGCCCAGAGUCUGAAUCAGCUUGUGUGUUAGUGGAACGGUCUGGAAAGUCCGACGGUACAGGGUGAUAGUCCCGUACACCAAAAUGCACAGGUUGUGAACUCGAAGAGUAGGGCGGGACACGUGGUAUCCUGUCUGAAUAUGGGGGGACCAUCCUCCAAGGCUAAAUACUCCUGACUGACCGAUAGUGAACCAGUACCGUGAGGGAAAGGCGAAAAGAACCCCGGCGAGGGGAGUGAAAAAGAACCUGAAACCGUGUACGUACAAGCAGUGGGAGCACCUUCGGGUGUGACUGCGUACCUUUUGUAUAAUGGGUCAGCGACUUAUAUUCUGUAGCAAGGUUAACCGUAUAGGGGAGCCGCAGGGAAACCGAGUCUUAACUGGGCGUUAAGUUGCAGGGUAUAGACCCGAAACCCGGUGAUCUAGCCAUGGGCAGGUUGAAGGUUGGGUAACACUAACUGGAGGACCGAACCGACUAAUGUUGAAAAAUUAGCGGAUGACUUGUGGCUGGGGGUGAAAGGCCAAUCAAACCGGGAGAUAGCUGGUUCUCCCCGAAAGCUAUUUAGGUAGCGCCUCGUGAACUCAUCUUCGGGGGUAGAGCACUGUUUCGGCUAGGGGGUCAUCCCGACUUACCAACCCGAUGCAAACUACGAAUACCGAAGAAUGUUAUCACGGGAGACACACGGCGGGUGCUAACGUCCGUCGUGAAGAGGGAAACAACCCAGACCGCCAGCUAAGGUCCCAAAGUCAUGGUUAAGUGGGAAACGAUGUGGGAAGGCACAGACAGCCAGGAUGUUGGCUUAGAAGCAGCCAUCAUUUAAAGAAAGCGUAAUAGCUCACUGGUCGAGUCGGCCUGCGCGGAAGAUGUAACGGGGCUAAACCAUGCACCGAAGCUGCGGCAGCGACACUAUGUGUUGUUGGGUAGGGGAGCGUUCUGUAAGCCUGCGAAGGUGACCUGUGAGGGUUGCUGGAGGUAUCAGAAGUGCGAAUGCUGACAUAAGUAACGAUAAAGCGGGUGAAAAGCCCGCUCGCCGGAAGACCAAGGGUUCCUGUCCAACGUUAAUCGGGGCAGGGUGAGUCGACCCCUAAGGCGAGGCCGAAAGGCGUAGUCGAUGGGAAACAGGUUAAUAUUCCUGUACUUGGUGUUACUGCGAAGGGGGGACGGAGAAGGCUAUGUUAGCCGGGCGACGGUUGUCCCGGUUUAAGCAUGUAGGCGGAGGUUCCAGGUAAAUCCGGUACCUUUUAACGCUGAGGUGUGAUGACGAGGCACUACGGUGCUGAAGUAACAAAUGCCCUGCUUCCAGGAAAAGCCUCUAAGCAUCAGGUAACAUCAAAUCGUACCCCAAACCGACACAGGUGGUCAGGUAGAGAAUACCAAGGCGCUUGAGAGAACUCGGGUGAAGGAACUAGGCAAAAUGGUGCCGUAACUUCGGGAGAAGGCACGCUGGUGUGUAGGUGAAGUCCCUGCGGAUGGAGCUGAGACCAGUCGAAGAUACCAGCUGGCUGCAACUGUUUAUUAAAAACACAGCACUGUGCAAACACGAAAGUGGACGUAUACGGUGUGACGCCUGCCCGGUGCCGGAAGGUUAAUUGAUGGGGUUAUCCGUAAGGAGAAGCUCUUGAUCGAAGCCCCGGUAAACGGCGGCCGUAACUAUAACGGUCCUAAGGUAGCGAAAUUCCUUGUCGGGUAAGUUCCGACCUGCACGAAUGGCGUAAUGAUGGCCAGGCUGUCUCCACCCGAGACUCAGUGAAAUUGAACUCGCUGUGAAGAUGCAGUGUACCCGCGGCAAGACGGAAAGACCCCGUGAACCUUUACUAUAGCUUGACACUGAACAUUGAGCCUUGAUGUGUAGGAUAGGUGGGAGGCUUUGAAGCGUGGACGCCAGUCUGCGUGGAGCCAACCUUGAAAUACCACCCUUUAAUGUUUGAUGUUCUAACGUUGGCCCCUUACCGGGGUUGCGGACAGUGUCUGGUGGGUAGUUUGACUGGGGCGGUCUCCUCCCAAAGCGUAACGGAGGAGCACGAAGGUUAGCUAAUCCUGGUCGGACAUCAGGAGGUUAGUGCAAUGGCAUAAGCUAGCUUGACUGCGAGCGUGACGGCGCGAGCAGGUGCGAAAGCAGGUCAUAGUGAUCCGGUGGUUCUGAAUGGAAGGGCCAUCGCUCAACGGAUAAAAGGUACUCCGGGGAUAACAGGCUGAUACCGCCCAAGAGUUCAUAUCGACGGCGGUGUUUGGCACCUCGAUGUCGGCUCAUCACAUCCUGGGGCUGAAGUAGGUCCCAAGGGUAUGGCUGUUCGCCAUUUAAAGUGGUACGCGAGCUGGGUUUAGAACGUCGUGAGACAGUUCGGUCCCUAUCUGCCGUGGGCGCUGGAGAAUUGAGGGGGGCUGCUCCUAGUACGAGAGGACCGGAGUGGACGCAUCACUGGUGUUCGGGUUGUCAUGCCAAUGGCACUGCCCGGUAGCUAAAUGCGGAAGAGAUAAGUGCUGAAAGCAUCUAAGCACGAAACUUGCCCCGAGAUGAGUUCUCCCUGAGACUUUAAGUCUCCUGAAGGAACGUUGAAGACGACGACGUUGAUAGGCCGGGUGUGUAAGCGCAGCGAUGCGUUGAGCUAACCGGUACUAAUGAACCGUGAGGCUUAACCUUACAACGCCGAAG